rnacentral:tRNA from 1 species
GCCGACGUAGCUCAAUGGUAGAGCAGGGGCCUUUUAAGCCCUUGGUUGUAGGUUCGAGUCCUUCCGUCGGUACUA